UACAGAGGUCUCAAGCGUUGUUCGGAUUCAUUAGGCGUAAAGGGUGCGUAGGCGGCGCGGUAAGUCGGGUGUGAAAUCUUGGAGCUUAACUCCGAAACUGCAUUCGAUACUGCCGUGCUUGAGGACUGGAGAGGAGACUGGAAUUUACGGUGUAGCGGUGAAAUGCGUAGAUAUCGUAAGGAAGACCAGUGGCGAAGGCGGGUCUCUGGACAGUUCCUGACGCUGAAGCACGAAGGCCAGGGGAGCAAACGGG
rnacentral:rRNA from 1 species